UACGUAGGGUGCGAGCGUUAAUCGGAAUUACUGGGCGUAAAGCGUGCGCAGGCGGUCUGUUAAGACCGAUGUGAAAUCCCCGGGCUUAACCUGGGAACUGCAUUGGUGACUGGCAGGCUUUGAGUGUGGCAGAGGGAGGUAGAAUUCCACGUGUAGCAGUGAAAUGCGUAGAGAUGUGGAGGAAUACCGAUGGCGAAGGCAGCCUCCUGGGCCAACACUGACGCUCAUGCACGAAAGCGUGGGGAGUAAACAGG
rnacentral:rRNA from 1 species